AAAUGAAUAAUAAAAAUAAAAUAAAAAGGAAAGGGGAUUUAGGGUUCAGAAAAUGUGACCUUUGGAGUCAAACGCGCAGCUUCUUCUUCGUGACCGAUGGCGCUCCCUUCCUUCUUCUCUGGCGAUGAUUUCGUCUCUCACCACCGCAAGAUUAAACCUCAAAUCGCCCUUCCUAUCGCUUUCUGAUCGUCUCCUCUUCUCAAUCGCCUAUCUCCAUUCACGCAAAGUAAUAUCUCAGGUGAAUUCGUGACGACAACCGCCGGAGCUUCUAUGGUUCUAACCUCGCCUUCUCUGAUUCAAAGUCCGGCCACCAUAAAACUCAACAUCUCCCUCACUCGUAUCUAUUUUUUUUCGACUCACGCUAAUCCUUCCGUCGACUUGUGCCUUACACUCAAUGUUCUGAUUCGCGCUCGACGGAGAGAGUUCAGUGUUUCUUCAGAUGUAACCAAGAAGAAGAGAAAUCUAGUUGAAAUCUUCAAGGAACGGUGAACGCGUGAUGUUGUUGCGAUGAAGAUGAAGAGUAAUGAAGAAGGAAUUGAGGGAGAUGAUGGCAAGUUCUGCAGAGAGAUUGAAGAUGAUGAUCCGAGAGAGAGUGCAGAGAAGAAUAAUGGUGGAGAUUUUGCAGAGUAUGAGAGAUGAAGGUGGUUAGUGAUGGAAAAAAGCGGUGACUUGAAUGAAGGAGAUGGCUCAGCUUAUAUAGAAUUUCAGGGAGAGGAUUCAACUCUAAGGGCUUUGGAAUGGUGUAAACAGAUUCAAGACAAUACGAAGGCCAUGAUGAAGAUGCUUGGAGUUUUAUAGAUUAGCAAAGCCACUGAUUUUUUGUAUAGUGUUUCUUGAUGGAAAUAUGUAUAAUCUUUGUAGUAGAGACUUGAAUGCUCUUUUUGAAUGAUGUUUUUGUAUAGAUUUGGUAGUGACAUCAAAAGGAAUUGGAACCGAUUAUGAUAAACAUGUAUUGGAUCAUUGCUUUGUUUUCUAUAUGAAAAUGGUUGUAGAAACUUUGUGAUAAAGGAUGGAUGAUGUCAUUUGAA